rnacentral:rRNA from 1 species
UAGGGAAUCUUCCACAAUGGACGAAAGUCUGAUGGAGCAACGCCGCGUGAACGAUGAAGGCCUUCGGGUCGUAAAGUUCUGUUGUAAGGGAAGAACAAGUGCCGCAGGCAAUGGCGGCACCUUGACGGUACCUUGCGAGAAAGCCACGGCUAACUACGUGCCAGCAGCCGCGGUAAUACGUAGGUGGCAAGCGUUGUCCGGAAUUAUUGGGCGUAAAGCGCGCGCAGGCGGCCUCUUAAGUCUGAUGUGAAAGCCCCCGGCUCAACCGGGGAGGGCCAUUGGAAACUGGGAGGCUUGAGUAUAGGAGAGAAGAGUGGAAUUCCACGUGUAGCGGUGAAAUGCGUAGAGAUGUGGAGGAACACCAGUGGCGAAGGCGACUCUUUGGCCUAUAACUGACGCUGAGGCGCGAAAGCGUGGGGAGCAAACAGGAU